rnacentral:rRNA from 1 species
GUGUAAGUGCAGUAAUGCAUUGAGCUAACCAGUACUAAUGAUCCGUGAGGCUUGACCAUAUAACCUCA